AGACCCGAAACCCGGUGAUCUAGCCAUGGGCAGGUUGAAGGUUGGGUAACACUAACUGGAGGACCGAACCGACUAAUGUUGAAAAAUUAGCGGAUGACCUGUGGCUGGGGGUGAAAGGCCAAUCAAACCGGGAGAUAGCUGGUUCUCCCCGAAAGCUAUUUAGGUAGCGCCUCGUGAACUCAUCUCCGGGGGUAGAGCACUGUUUCGGCUAGGGGGCCAUCCCGGCUUACCAACCCGAUGCAAACUGCGAAUACCGGAGAAUGUUAUCACGGGAGACACACGGCGGGUGCUAACGUCCGUCGUGAAGAGGGAAACAACCCAGACCGCCAGCUAAGGUCCCAAAGUCAUGGUUAAGUGGGAAACGAUGUGGGAAGGCCCAGACAGCCAGGAUGUUGGCUUAGAAGCAGCCAUCAUUUAAAGAAAGCGUAAUAGCUCACUGGUCGAGUCGGCCUGCGCGGAAGAUGUAACGGGGCUAAACCAUGCACCGAAGCUGCGGCAGCGACACUUUAGUGUUGUUGGGUAGGGGAGCGUUCUGUAAGCCGUUGAAGGUGUCCUGUGAGGGGUGCUGGAGGUAUCAGAAGUGCGAAUGCUGACAUAAGUAACGAUAAAGCGGGUGAAAAGCCCGCUCGCCGGAAGACCAAGGGUUCCUGUCCAACGUUAAUCGGGGCAGGGUGAGUCGACCCCUAAGGCGAGGCCGAAAGGCGUAGUCGAUGGGAAACGGGUUAAUAUUCCCGUACUUGGUGUUACUGCGAAGGGGGGACGGAGAAGGCUAUGUUGGCCGGGCGACGGUAGUCCCGGUUUAAGCGUGUAGGUGUGUGUUCCAGGUAAAUCCGGUUCACUUUAACACUGAGGCGUGAUGACGAGGCACCACGGUGCUGAAGCAACAAAUGCCCUGCUUCCAGGAAAAGCCUCUAAGCAUCAGGUAACAUCAAAUCGUACCCCAAACCGACACAGGUGGUCAGGUAGAGAAUACCAAGGCGCUUGAGAGAACUCGGGUGAAGGAACUAGGCAAAAUGGUGCCGUAACUUCGGGAGAAGGCACGCUGACACGUAGGUGAAGUGAUUUACUCAUGGAGCUGAAGUCAGUCGAAGAUACCAGCUGGCUGCAACUGUUUAUUAAAAACACAGCACUGUGCAAACACGAAAGUGGACGUAUACGGUGUGACGCCUGCCCGGUGCCGGAAGGUUAAUUGAUGGGGUCAGCGCAAGCGAAGCUCCUGAUCGAAGCCCCGGUAAACGGCGGCCGUAACUAUAACGGUCCUAAGGUAGCGAAAUUCCUUGUCGGGUAAGUUCCGACCUGCACGAAUGGCGUAAUGAUGGCCAGGCUGUCUCCACCCGAGACUCAGUGAAAUUGAACUCGCUGUGAAGAUGCAGUGUACCCGCGGCAAGACGGAAAGACCCCGUGAACCUUUACUAUAGCUUGACACUGAACAUUGAGCCUUGAUGUGUAGGAUAGGUGGGAGGCUUUGAAGCGUGGACGCCAGUCUGCGUGGAGCCGACCUUGAAAUACCACCCUUUAAUGUUUGAUGUUCUAACGUGGACCCGUAAUCCGGGUUGCGGACAGUGUCUGGUGGGUAGUUUGACUGGGGCGGUCUCCUCCUAAAGAGUAACGGAGGAGCACGAAGGUUGGCUAAUCCUGGUCGGACAUCAGGAGGUUAGUGCAAUGGCAUAAGCCAGCUUGACUGCGAGCGUGACGGCGCGAGCAGGUGCGAAAGCAGGUCAUAGUGAUCCGGUGGUUCUGAAUGGAAGGGCCAUCGCUCAACGGAUAAAAGGUACUCCGGGGAUAACAGGCUGAUACCGCCCAAGAGUUCAUAUCGACGGCGGUGUUUGGCACCUCGAUGUCGGCUCAUCACAUCCUGGGGCUGAAGUAGGUCCCAAGGGUAUGGCUGUUCGCCAUUUAAAGUGGUACGCGAGCUGGGUUUAGAACGUCGUGAGACAGUUCGGUCCCUAUCUGCCGUGGGCGCUGGAAGACUGAGGGGGGCUGCUCCUAGUACGAGAGGACCGGAGUGGACGCAUCACUGGUGUUCGGGUUGUCAUGCCAAUGGCACUGCCCGGUAGCUAAAUGCGGAAAAGAUAAGUGCUGAAAGCAUCUAAGCACGAAACUUGCCCCGAG
rnacentral:rRNA from 1 species